AGCCUUGUGGUGUAUUCACGUAGGAUUGCAAAUCUUGAGAAUGCAGGGUAAUUCCUGCCGGGGCUU
rnacentral:tRNA from 1 species